rnacentral:rRNA from 1 species
AGAGGUGGCAAGCGUUGUUCGGAAUUACUGGGCGUAAAGGGCGCGUAGGCGGCUUGGUCAGUCCCGUGUGAAAUCCCUCGGCUCAACUGAGGAACUGCACGGGAAACUGCCUGGCUUGAGUUCGGGAGAGGGAAGCGGAAUUCCGGGUGUAGCGGUGAAAUGCGUAGAUAUCCGGAGGAACACCGGUGGCGAAGGCGGCUUCCUGGACCGACACUGACGCUGAGGCGCGAAAGCUAGGGGAGCAAACGGGAUUAGAUACCCCGGUAGUCCUAGCUGUAAACGAUGAGUGCUGGGUGUAGGAGGUAUCAACCCCUCCUGUGCCGAAGCUAACGCAUUAAGCACUCCGCCUGGGGAGUACGGUCGCAAGGCUGAA